UACGAAGGGUGCAAGCGUUUACUCGGAAUUACUGGGCGUAAAGCGUGCGUAGGUGGUUUGUUAAGUCUGCUGUGAAAGCCCCGGGCUCAACCUGGGAAUGGCAGUGGAUACUGGCAAGCUAGAGUGCGGUAGAGGGUAGUGGAAUUCCCGGUGUAGCGGUGAAAUGCGUAGAGAUCGGGGAGGAACACCAGUGGCGAAGGCGGCUACCUGGACCAGCACUGACACUGAGGCACGAAAGCGUGGGGAGCAAACAGG
rnacentral:rRNA from 1 species